UACGUAGGAGGCGAGCGUUGUCCGGAGUUACUGGGCGUAAAGGAUGCGCAGGCGGCCCGACAGGUGUGUGGUGAAAUCUCCCGGCUUACCUGGGAGGGGGCCACGCAAACCGUUGGGCUUGAGGCUCGGGGAGGGGCGCGGAAUUCCCGGUGUAGCGGUGAAAUGCGCAGAUAUCGGGAGGAACACCGGUGGCGAAGGCGGUUCUCUGGGCCUUACCUGACGCUGAGGAGCGAAAGCGUGGGGAGCGAACAGG
rnacentral:rRNA from 1 species